GCCGCUCAUUGUGUUUCUUGCUUUUGCUCCGUCGCUUUCUUCCUUUCUUCUCAGUGCAGCACAAAAUAGAGGUCACACGUUGGUCUUCUUCUUACAAGUUAAAGGGUUCGCAUGGUAGCGGUUUCAUCUUCUUGCUCAAGCAGUCAAAGGUUUGCCCAAGGAUAGGAAAUCUCUAUCAGAUGCUGGGCAGUGGCUUGAAGCAGUAGUAAAAUAUUUGCUGAAGGAGAAGUACCAAAUAUUAGAUUUUUGGUACAGGCUAGGAAGUGAUCUAAUUGAUAUUUAGAUAGCUGGAACUUGGAAGCAAAUGGAAGCUCAUGGAGUUUUGUCAUGAAUGCUUGAUGCUUUGUUUUCUCCUUUCCAAUAUCUUUAGCAAAAUUCAUUAUUUACUUCAACAGCCACUUGUUAUAGUAUAGAUGAUUUUUUUUUUUUGGGUUCUUCACCACUAAUACAUAGUUCCACUAGAACUGGCUGAUUGAACGUAAUGCUAGAUAAGAAAAGACGAGAGGCAAUUCUAGAUAUAGUAGUCUGUACUUUGGGAUGAAUGUAUCUUAUGUUUUAAAUUGUAACUUUUCACAGGUAAUGAGAUACAUCGUACAAUCGGAGAGUUUACC